GUGUCAGCAGCCGCGGUAAGACGAACUGUGCGAACGUUAUUCGGAAUCACUGGGCUUACAGGGUGCGUAGGCGGCCUGUUAAGUAGGGUGUGAAAUCCCCCGGCCCAACCGGGGAAUUGCGCUCUAAACUAGCAGGCUUGAGUAAGCUAGGGGUGCACGGAACUCCCAGUGGAGCGGUGAAAUGUGUUGAUAUUGGAAGGAACACCGGAGGCGAAAGCGGUGCACUGGGGCUUAACUGACGCUGAGGCACGAAAGCCAGGGGAGCGAACGGGAUUAGAUACCCCGGUAGUCCUGGCCGUAAACGAUGAGCACUAGGCGGGAGAGGGUUCGCCCUUUCCGGUCGUAGCGAAAGCGUUAAGUUUGCCGCCUGGGGAGUACGGUCGCAAGACUGAAACUUAAAUGAAUUGGCGGGG
rnacentral:rRNA from 1 species